rnacentral:rRNA from 1 species
GAUGAACGCUGGCGGCGUGCCUAAUACAUGCCAGUCGAGCGAACGGACGAGAAGCUUGCUUCUCUGAUGUUAGCGGCGGACGGGUGAGUAACACGUGGAUAACCUACCUAUAAGACUGGGAUAACUUCGGGAAACCGGAGCUAAUACCGGAUAAUAUUUUGAACCGCAUGGUUCAAAAGUGAAAGACGGUCUUGCUGUCACUUAUAGAUGGAUCCGCGCUGCAUUAGCUAGUUGGUAAGGUAACGGCUUACCAAGGCAACGAUGCAUAGCCGACCUGAGAGGGUGAUCGGCCACACUGGAACUGAGACACGGUCCAGACUCCUACGGGGGGCAGCAGUAGGGAAUCUUCCGCAAUGGGCGAAAGCCUGACGGAGCAACGCCGCGUGAGUGAUGAAGGUCCUCGGAUCGUAAAACUCUGUUAUUAGGGAAGAACAUAUGUGUAAGUAACUGUGCACAUCUUGACGGUACCUAAUCAGAAAGCCACGGCUAACUACGUG